GCUCUGUUGGUAGAGCACAAGGAUCUUAACCUUAUGGUCGUGGGUUCGAGCCCCAU
rnacentral:tRNA from 1 species